rnacentral:rRNA from 1 species
AUUGAACGCUAGCGGGAUGCUUUACACAUGCAAGUCGAACGGCAGCGCGGACUUCGGUCUGGCGGCGAGUGGCGAACGGGUGAGUAAUGUAUCGGAACGUGCCCAGUAGCGGGGGAUAACUACGCGAAAGCGUAGCUAAUACCGCAUACGCCCUACGGGGGAAAGCAGGGGAUCGUAAGACCUUGCACUAUUGGUGCGGCCGAUAUCGGAUUAGAUAGUUGGUGAGGUAACGGCUCACCAAGGCGACGAUCCGUAGCUGGUUUGAGAGGACGACCAGCCACACUGGGACUGAGACACGGCCCAGACUCCUACGGGAGGCAGCAGUGGGGAAUUUUAGACAAUGGGGGCAACCCUGAUCCAGCCAUCCCGCGUGUGCGAUGAAGGCCUUCGGGUUGUAAAGCACUUUUGGCAGGAAAGAAACGUCGCGGGCUAAUACCCCGUGGAACUGACGGUACCUGCAGAAUAAGCACCGGCUAACUACGUG